GACGAACGCUGGCGGCGCGCCUAACACAUGCAAGUCGAACGAGCGAGAGAGAGCUUGCUUUCUUGAGCGAGUGGCGAACGGGUGAGUAACGCGUGAGGAACCUGCCACAAAGAGGGGGACAACAGUUGGAAACGACUGCUAAUACCGCAUAAGCCCACGGUGCCGCAUGGCACAGAGGGAAAAGGAGCAAUCCGCUUUGAGAUGGCCUCGCGUCCGAUUAGCUAGUUGGUGAGGUAACGGCCCACCAAGGCGACGAUCGGUAGCCGGACUGAGAGGUUGAACGGCCACAUUGGGACUGAGACACGGCCCAGACUCCUACGGGAGGCAGCAGUGGGGAAUAUUGCACAAUGGGGGAAACCCUGAUGCAGCGACGCCGCGUGGAGGAAGAAGGUCUUCGGAUUGUAAACUCCUGUUGUUGGGGAAGAUAAUGACGGUACCCAACAAGGAAGUGACGGCUAACUACGUG
rnacentral:rRNA from 1 species